rnacentral:rRNA from 1 species
UGGGGAAUAUUGGACAAUGGGCGCAAGCCUGAUCCAGCAAUGCCGCGUGUGUGAAGAAGGCCUUCGGGUUGUAAAGCACUUUUAUCAGGAGCGAAACGCUGUCGGCUAAUACCCGGCGGAACUGACGGUACCUGGGGAAUAAGCACCGGCUAACUUCGUGCCAGCAGCCGCGGUAAUACGAAGGGUGCAAGCGUUAAUCGGAAUUACUGGGCGUAAAGCGUGCGUAGGCGGUUUCUUAAGUCUGCUGUGAAAUCCCCGGGCUCAACCUGGGAAUGGCAGUGGAUACUGGGAGGCUAGAGUGUGUCAGAGGGUGGUGGAAUUCCCGGUGUAGCGGUGAAAUGCGUAGAGAUCGGGAGGAACAUCAGUGGCGAAGGCGGCCACCUGGGACAACACUGACGCUGAGGCACGAAAGCGUGGGGAGCAAACAGGAUUAGAUACCCUGGUAGUCCACGCCCUAAACGAUGCGAACUGGAUGUUGGUCUCAACUCGGAGAUCAGUGUCGAAGCUAACGCGUUAAGUUCGCCGCCUGGGGAGUACGGUCGCAAGACUGAAACUCAAAUGAAUUGACGGGGUCAUAGC